CAGAAUGGUGCUGGAUGGAAGCAGCACCCUCCUCCCCCAUGCGAAUGGGUCUUGCACCACAGCCAUUGCCCCUGGCAGGCUUCUUUGCCGUUAAGGGGGUAGCAGCACUCCUACAUCGCUCUGGGAAAUAAAGCCCGCACUUACCACAGUUUGUAACUGUUUUGUUUGCUUGUUGGCUGACCCCUCUGCUGGUGUGAUGCUGCUAGAACAGGCCUGUGUCCUGCUUCCUGCCAUGUUGUCAGUGCUGAGAACCAUACCCGGUACAUCACAGGUGCUUGGAACUCCAAGGAAUUUGCUCUCUGGAGUCCCUGCAGGAAUUUUUGUGAUUAUACAGCAGUGGUGAGGGGUGAGUAUUCCUAAGGUAAAGUGGCCAAGUCAGAUGGCUCCAUCUCAGUGUUUCUUCAGAUUUCAGAGGCACCUGAGCAUUGAUUUCUCUGCUCAGAGGUAACUUGUCACGUGGAAAUUUUUGGCUUCUGUACUUGACAAUGUGCAAAAGUGUUUGAAGGGAGAUGGCUCAACAAAGCACCUGCCAGGUUGCCUGAAUAUCUGUGGUUUAUCACUUAGCUUCUGGUUUGGGGUGACUGAGAUUUAUGGGAUGAUGUGAGAGUGGUCCAAUUUCUUAGGGACCAGUUGUUGGUAUGCUGGCCACUGGCCUGGGCAUUUCACAUUGAAGGUAAUGAUUAUGUUGGGUCUCACUGGCUUAUUUCCGAAAAGGGCAGGGUAUGUUCUUGAGGGAAGCAGUCUUUCUUUGUUCCUGGUGGAACAAAUAAGCACAGGACUAGCUAAAAAACUAAGUAAAGCAUGGGUGUAGUGACAAUGGGCACAUUGAAUGAGUUUCUUAUCUUUGCAGGUCUGAUCUUCUGGACCUGGAUGAGUCUUACUCUCUUACCCACUGAGUCAGGUGGACAGGUUGGAGGAAAACAGCCUCCAUGAUCUAGUGAACUGCUAGACAAGGUCAAUGCUAAAGAAACAUGCCUGUGCCUCCUCUGACCCACAGUGGAGUGCAGAAACAGGCAAAGACAGGAUUCUAUGCACAAGUGCACUCUUGCUCCAUCCUUGUUCUCCUCCUUUCUUUCUCCUGAAGACACUUAAGAGUGCCACUUACUGUGCCAGUUGGAUGUGCUGAUCAGCUAUCUUUUCUACUUCACUGAUUUCUUAAGGCCAAGAGACUAAGAUUUCCUCAGAAAUCAUGAAAGAUUUAGAAUGAGACAUGCCAGGGUUUGAAUCCUAACAGUAUCACUUAUUUGCUGCGUGACCUUGGCCAAUAAUUUAAACUCUCUGAGCCUUUGAUUCCAUGUCAUAAAAAAGAAAUAAUGUUAUCCUAUAUUGGCUUGUGAUGAAAAUGAACUGAGAUAAUGCUGUAAGACGUCUAGGGAAGUCUUAGUCCUGGUAAGUGGUCAGUAAACAGUAGUUUGGUCCCCUUCCUUGGCAAAACACUGGGACAUUGUGAACAUUUUUUAAGGGUCUGUUGUGUUAGAUAUUAGUGUUACUCUACAGUAUUUCUGAGUCUGUUCUGCUUCUGGGCACAUGGGAGAAUUGCAUUUCCCUCACCCCUUUAAGGUACUCAUGGCAGUAUGACUUGAUCUAACGAAUGCGAUGUAAGUAGAAGUCUUUAAGAACUCAAGUGUGAGUCUCCAUGACUCUUGUUCUCUGCCAAGGGAAUUGCAAAAUACUGUUGAUGUAAUGGCACCGUAAAAUGGAAAUCCGGGAACACCGAUCUAGCACAUGGAGGACCGUUGCUCCGUAGGUCUGCCCAGACCACACUCAUGGUAGACUUUAUGUGAUUAAGAAACAAAUCACCUAUAUCAGUAUUGGGAGAAAGAACAAAUUCCCCAAAACUAGUCCAGUCCUUCUCUGCUGACAGACCAGCAGGGUGAUGAUACAUGGUUGAAGGAAGGUACACACUGGGACUGAGAGGUGGUUUGUUACCGAAGCAUCAUCUAAACUCUUCUGACUGAUACGUAUACAGAGAUGUAUAAGAUGAAUCCGAAAAUGCUGCAAUAUAAAAACAAGAGCUCUGGGAGUUCCUUCUGUGGUGCAAUGGGUUAAAGAUCUGGUGUUGCUGCAGCUGUGGCAUAGGUCACAGCUGAGGCCUGGAUUCAAUCCCUGGCCUGGGAACUUCCGUAUGCCUUGGGUGUGGCCAUAAAAAAA
rnacentral:lncRNA from 1 species